UACGUAGGGGGCAAGCGUUGUCCGGAAUCAUUGGGCGUAAAGAGCUUGUAGGCGGUUUGUCGCGUCUGCUGUGAAAUUUCGGGGCUCAACCCCGAACUUGCAGUGGGUACGGGCAGACUAGAGUGUGGUAGGGGGAGACUGGAGUUCCUGGUGUAGCGGUGAAAUGCGCAGAUAUCAGGAGGAACACCGAUGGCGAAGGCAGGUCUCUGGGCCAUAACUGACGCUGAGAAGCGAAAGCAUGGGGAGCGAACAGG
rnacentral:rRNA from 1 species